rnacentral:rRNA from 1 species
UACCGGAUCGAGGAGUCUAACAUGUGUGCAAGCGAAUAAGAUCUGACCAUCUUAUACGCAGAAUGAAAGUGAAGUGCUGUUUGGCAGCAUUAGCGGAGAUCUGUAUCAUUGAUAUGGUGCAGCGCAUCCGCAGGCCGCGUUAUCGGUUAGCUUGCUGGCAUACGUUUCGGCGUUGUGUUGGCACUGCUGAGACGUGGACCUAGAGCUCGUUUGUUGGUACCCGAAAGAUGGUGAACUAUGCUUGUCCAGGACGAAGCCAGGGGAAACCCUGGUGGAGGUCCGAAGCGAUUCUGACGUGCAAAUCGAUCGUCUGAGCUGAGUAUAGGGGCGAAAGACCAAUCGAACCAUCUAGUAGCUGGUUCCGCCUGAAGUUUCCCUCAGGAUAGCUGACACUUAUUGGAGACGGAGUUUCAUCUGGUAAAGCGAAUGAUCAGAGGAAAUGGGCUAAUUAUUGGCUCAACCUAUUCUCAAACUUUUAACAGAUGAGACGUCCCGCUGACUUGAGUGCAGCGGUGACUCUGAAUCCGAGUGUCUAGUGGGCCACUUUUGGUAAGCAGAACUGGCGAUGCGGGAUGAACCGCACACCGAGUUGAGGUGCCUAAACGAACGCGAAUCAGAUACCAUGAAAGGUGUUGAUUGCUCAUGACAGCAGGACGGUGGCCAUGGAAGUCGGCAUCCGCUAAGGAGUGUGUAACAACUCACCUGCG